UUUUCUAACAUAGCCUUUACUGUUACUUGUUCUGAUCUGUUCUGUACUGUUACUGAAUUAAUGCACCUCAUAAGAGUAUUUUUGUUUCUUUGUUUUUUAAAUGGUAGUUGAAUGGUAGUGUGUCACCAUUUCCACAAAAAUAUUAAGCAGCAUAAACUAUUUUAACAUUGAUACUAAUAAGAACUGUUUCUUGAGUACCAAAUCAGAUAUUAGAAUGAUUAGACUGAAGAAAUGGCUUCUGAAAACCUAGCUCGGCCAUCACAGGAAAAACAUUUUUCAAAAUAUAUUUGAAUAUAAAACUUAAAUUGUAAUAAUAUAUCUCAAUCUCACUGUGUUUUUUUAACUGCAGCCUUGGUGAAAAUAAGAGAGCUCCUCUAAAAGAUUGAAAAACGUAAUUAUUCCAAACUUUUGGCCACUAUAAAUGUCCCUUUUUUUCAGGCAUUGAAACAGUUGGAAAAAAUGUGUUUGUCGUUGGGAGCUCCAAGAAUGUAGGAAUGCCUAUCGCAAUGCUGCUACAUUCGGAUAGAAACCAUGAACGGCCGGGAGUUGCAGGAACAUUUUCAGAAUUUCAAUCAAUAAUCUACAUCCCAGUCACCUCGCUUUUUGAAGGGGAGUGAGCGAAUUGUGAAAUUCACAGAAUGAACGGAUGUUGCCUCUGCUGACACAAGCUGUCAAAUCAUUACAAUCAAGAAUGAACAUUUUACCAGUAACCUGUAAUAAGCUUCUCAAGCAGUAAUGGAAAACUGCUGAGAAAACAACAUUCAUCAUCCUUAACCAUGUAGUUUUAUGCUAUAUUUUUAAAUAUAUAAUAGGUGGUAGUAUAUUGUUUGUUUUAAAAUCCAUAUACUGCAUGUGGAAACAGAAUGCAAAUAAAGACAUGCAAAGUAAAUGUUGUUUUUAAAAAUCCCUAUUUCUUUGCAUUUAAUUAAAUAGUAAUUAAAAUAUUAGCUUGAACCUAUUAAUCCUAAAUAGUUUUGAAAAAUGUUUGAUAGUGCAUCAUAACUUUUGAUUGGCAUGUCUCCAGAAACAAGAUUAGUUAUAAUUAUUAGAGGAUUCAAUUCUAUAGA